rnacentral:lncRNA from 1 species
CAGGUUGCAGAACCCGAGGCCUGUGAUCAGAUGUACGAGAGCUUAGCACGACUGCAUUCAAACUACUACAAGCACAAGGUGGCGCUGUUCCCACUAUUGUCCGGUCUGGGGCCUCACUCAGCACCUGGUAAACUGCAGGCGGCCAGAGGAAGACCGAGUGUGCAGAGCUAAGUGUCCCUUCUCUCCUGCCCCUUGCAGUACCCUCGCCCCAGAGACACCAGCUUCAGUGGCCUGUCCGUGGAAGAGUACAAGCUGAUCCUGUCCACAGACACUUUGGAGGAGUUUCAAGAGAUGAAUAAGAGUGUGUGGAGGAAACUGCAGGAGAAGUUUGCGCCCACAAGGCCCGAGGAGAAGCACAGAGCCUGGACUCGGGUGCUGUCCCGCCCACGGACCUGACUGCGCAGUCUCCUGAUGCCUGUCAAUAAACUGCCCAGUUUCCCC